UGGGACUCUGGAAGAGGAGGAGAGAAAAGAUGAUUAGUUAUUUAUGAAGAAAGGCUUUUGAUAACAGCCUGAACAGAUUAGAUUAGAAGCAUGGGAAACACUGGACCUCUCAUUUUUCUUUAGGGAAAAGCUUGAAGAGGAGUCACAGAUCUGAUUUCAACUGUGCCACAAGACGUACAAGGCAGUUCCAAGUCAUUGCAAUCACAACUAGAAAUUACACAGAUGGCUGCUGUAACAUACAGACCUACAGCGCAUGUAACAUGAUGUGUACAUAACACGGUACGUAAAACUGCCCACACACUUCCCACAUCCCUCCUAGAACAACCCAGCAUAAGAGGAAGCACCCACCUGAAGACAGAAAGACGAUGAGAUGUCCCAGUGCAGAGCUGGACCUCACAAAAUACUCUAAUGAUUAAUAAACCAAGUAUUCUGACCAUGAAUAAAGCCAAACUUAAUCCUGUCCAAACCCACCACUGCCUUCUAUAGUCAGGCAAAGUUACCAGUUUUAGAGAGUGUGUUCUAACAGCUACGGGUCAAUGGAGAUGAAACCUUGAGCACGCAGUAGAUUUGGACCCAAAAGUGUGCAUUUGAAUUAGAUGAAAACUUCAGUGUGUGGGUGCUCUGGCUGAGUGACUCCAGUAACUGGGCAGGAAUUCUUGUGAAGAUCAAUGCCCUGUGCUGAGUGUCCAAGGCAGCCCCCAGAAAACCACACUGCAGUACACACAAAACAUGGAUGAUGAUGAUGAUGAUAAUGAAAUGUAAGCUGGGAAAAAUGACACUGUCUUUAUUAUUACAGUUCUGAUGAAUGUAUGGGAAAAGCAAAUAAAGCAAAAUUCAAAAUACAGACAAACAUGCAUGUCCAUACACACAUGCCCACUAUGCAGGCAUGAGCUACAACCACUAUAUGGUUAUAGCUAUAUUGUUAUACCUCAGUGAUCACUGUUAGCAGUGUCAUCACCUGGGAUGUAUGUAGGAACCCCUAGGAGGUUGUCCUGUGCAGUAAGGCACAACUGAGCAUGGCAGAUUCACGGCAAAGGUGCCAACAGGAACCACUGAUGCUCCCAGCUGUAUGGGGAGAAGCAGCAGCAUCCAGGUUUGACUACUGUCAGGGGUGAUGGAUCCACAAAUCCUUCAACAGAGCCAAAUGCAGCACUUCAUAGCUCUUGACUGUAUGAUUGCUGGAUCACCAACAUCAGCUGAAGGAGAGCGCUGGUUAGGUGAUGUGAUUCUCCUGGCAGGAUUAAACUGUUGAGAGUUUAAUGCAAGGAAAACCUAAUCAGCCCGUACACAGCAUUCAGCCACUAACAAGCAAAGGGAGGACUGAUCUGCUCAGUGUUUUAUGCUUUUGCUCUCCACUUAACAUUUCAUCAGUUUGUUUUUAAAGCAAUUUCUGCUGUUCACUUAGGUACAUUAACGAGGUGGUAUUUGUACAUGAGGAUGUGGCACAGAAUCGCUAUGAACAAUGGACGAGCUAUUCCACACGCAAAAGUGAUGAGAUCAAAACUACUUCUGGGCAGGAGAUACAAAAUAGCCGUGCUCUUGCUCAGGAUGCUGUUCUCACCAAAAACAAGAGCCAGAAAACUGAGUCUACUGAAUCUCCACAUCUGACAACCUGGACAAAGACCAGAACUUCUGUGCAGAUCAGGAAAGAAAUGUGUGAAAUAAUGUAUCCAGGUUUCCAGCACUGAAGAAUAGAAAAAUGCUGGGGAGGGAGGAGUCACGAUUUCCACCAUUUCCCUCUGCUACCACCCACUUCCAUGACACCAAACAAGGAAAGCAAGAAUACUGGUAACAGUAUGGAAAAGAUCUGAUUUACCUCUUCAGUGUCAAGCUAUUAUUGUAAAGGACAUUUUGUUAAAAAUCUCACAGAAUCCAUUGAGGAAUGCAGACGGCCAUCAGCUGCCAAUGUUAAUGUACUACUCAGCUGAACAGCGUUCAGGAUUUUACUGACACUGAUGAACAGCAGCAGAGUACUAUCGUAAUGAUAGAAGGGAAGUGGCUGAGAGGUAAAAAUGAAAGAGCUCAGGGCAAAAUCAGAAACCUGAGCAAUUGUGGGAAGGACAUCAGAGUCAGGCUGAGCAUAACCUCGGUGAAUGAUAAAUUCAGUUUCAAUGACCUUCCCAAUGUACGCUUAAGUUAGCUGGUUCUGAAGCAGAGGUUAGGCUUAUUUGAAAUGACACAAGAAGAAACAUGCAAGAGGAAGAACUGUAAGUCUGGUAUAGAAUCUGCCUCCUUCUCUAGAACAAAAGCUGGAGUUUUUUUUCUACACUGGCUACAGUAAAUAGUACUACUAAAACCAGGUAGCUUUUACUGGUAGUAAAGAAGGAAACUGAGAGGCAGUGUGUAAAACGUAACAUACAUUAUGGGAAAAUGAUGACACAGAUGUGACUUGUGAAAGAGCACAUUCUAUUGAUAUGAAAGUGUUUAUUGCCUUUGUGCUUUUGAUUCACCUUUACCUUCUUUCUGGAGAAAAAACAUGCGGAAAUAGUACGGAAAAAUGAGUGACGAUGUCAGAACUUGUUUAUGAAUCAGAGCUGUGUGUCUUUUCAAUGAACAGCUUUCAUCCAGCUGUAUUGAGAUGUAAUAAAGAUGGAAAUAACAAGUUUUGAGAAGGACGACAGAUCAAUAAAAAUCCAUAGAUUACCAGAAUUUGCUGGUUUCACUGACAACUUUUCUCCACUAAGAACCACUACAGAAAUGCUCCUGUAAAUAACGAAAUCCUGCUGACUGAAAGUGAAUAAGUGUCACAGGCUGGCUUUCUUGUGACUAAUUUCUUCUGCUGCAAAGAUUUUUCACUGGUCAUUUUCCUGCUAACCCAUACAGUAACCUUCCCAUCCUUCUUGGUUUGGGUUAUUUUGGGGUGGGUUUUCUGUUGGUUUGUUUGCUUUGCAUUUUUAUGGUUUUAAGUGGAGAAACGUAACCAGAAAGUGAUCUCGGAACUGAUCAUAAUGUGAUCCUUUUGUCUUGGCUUCCAGCCACGUGGAGUUAGAAUCUUGACCUAUGGUGCCUGAUUAACAAGCAAAGAGCCUCUGGAGCCUUGACCUGCUGGUGAACUAUCUGGGUACUACUGGAGUAAAAGCUGACAAAAAUACAUUAGGUGAGUGACUUCAGUUUCAGUUUCUCUGCAGUGCAGUGACUCACAGGACUUCUGAAGUACACGGGUGCAAUCCGUAAUCUUUGGGUGCGAGAACUGUUUCCAAUAACACAAAUAGCUAUUGGUAGAUUGAAAUGUAUUGCUUUGGGUUGAGUUGUUACACAUGAAACAAACCUGACAGCCCAAGAUCAAUAACUCAACUGAACAUACAGAUAAAUGCACUUUUUCAUCUCUGUCUUUCCAGUAUCUUGCACCAGUUUUGUACUACAUUUGUGAAGACCAUACAGUAUGCACAGUGUGUGUGUCUACUCAUGCACACAAGUGUCAACUAACAAUAUGCAACCAGCUCCUAUGACUGUAGUAGAGUUUCUAUUUCUACACAACAUUUUGUAAUACCAUGCAAA